rnacentral:rRNA from 1 species
CGCGUCGACGGGUAGCCGGCCUGAGAGGGCGACCGGCCACACUGGGACUGAGACACGGCCCAGACUCCUACGGGAGGCAGCAGUGGGGAAUAUUGCACAAUGGGCGCAAGCCUGAUGCAGCGACGCCGCGUGAGGGAUGACGGCCUUCGGGUUGUAAACCUCUUUCAGCAGGGAAGAAGCGAAAGUGACGGUACCUGCAGAAGAAGCGCCGGCUAACUACGUGCCAGCAGCCGCGGUAAUACGUAGGGCGCGAGCGUUGUCCGGAAUUAUUGGGCGUAAAGAGCUCGUAGGCGGCUUGUCACGUCGGUUGUGAAAGCCCGGGGCUUAACCCCGGGUCUGCAGUCGAUACGGGCAGGCUAGAGUUCGGUAGGGGAGAUCGGAAUUCCUGGUGUAGCGGUGAAAUGCGCAGAUAUCAGGAGGAACACCGGUGGCGAAGGCGGAUCUCUGGGCCGAUACUGACGCUGAGGAGCGAAAGCGUGGGGAGCGAACAGGAUUAGAUACCCUGGUAGUCCACGCCGUAAACGGUGGGCACUAGGUGUGGGCAACAUUCCACGUUGUCCGUGCCGCAGCUAACGCAUUAAGUGCCCCGCCUGGGGAGUA